GAUGAACGCUGGCGGCGUGCUUAACACAUGCAAGUCGAACGAUGAAGCCCAGCUUGCUGGGUGGAUUAGUGGCGAACGGGUGAGUAAAACGUGAGUAACCUGCCCUUAACUCUGGGAUAAGCCUGGGAAACUGGGUCUAAUACCGGAUAGGAGCGUCCACCGCAUGGUGGGUGUUGGAAAGAUUUAUCGGUUUUGGAUGGUCUCGCGGCCUAUCAGCUUGUUGGUGAGGUAAUGGCUCACCAAGGCGACGACGGGUAGCCGGCCUGAGAGGGUGACCGGCCACACUGGGACUGAGACACGGCCCAGACUCCUACGGGAGGCAGCAGUGGGGAAUAUUGCACAAUGGGCGCAAGCCUGAUGCAGCGACGCCGCGUGAGGGAUGACGGCCUUCGGGUUGUAAACCUCUUUCAGUAGGGAAGAAGCGAAAGUGACGGUACCUGCAGAAGAAGCACCGGCUAACUACGUG
rnacentral:rRNA from 1 species